rnacentral:rRNA from 1 species
UACGUAGGGUGCAAGCGUUAAUCGGAAUUACUGGGCGUAAAGCGUGCGCAGGCGGUUAUGCAAGACAGAGGUUAAAUCCCCGGGCUCAACCUGGGAACUGCCUUUGUGACUGCAUAGCUAGAGUACGGUAGAGGGGGAUGGAAUUCCGCGUGUAGCAGUGAAAUGCGUAGAUAUGCGGAGGAACACCGAUGGCGAAGGCAAUCCCCUGGACCUGUACUGACGCUCAUGCACGAAAGCGUGGGGAGCAAACAGG